GGGUAGGUUUUGGCUGUGAAUCAAGGUUUCUGAUCCCUUCUCUGUUCGUUAGCAAGAAACAGGACCGAGCCCUAAUCGAAGGAUUGGAGAGGUGAUGUGGUGAUUCCGGCCACCACAGAUUGAUUGGAUUAGUUCUUCCACCGGAGUUGUGAUCAUCUCCGGCGAUAGAAGAAGUAGAGGACCUUGAUUUAUACGAGCAGCGUGACGUGGGGUGGUUCUAUUGAUUGCGGGAUAUAUCGAGGCGGGUAUUUCUUCCUUAAGUUCUAUUUAGUUCUUUGAACUUUAAAAGCAUGGUUAUAUUUGGACAAGUAGGUUGCAUUCCUUAAAUCAUAUUAUUUGUUGUUUUCCUGCUUGUCACUUUUGCUUGAUCUUUGAUAUAAUCUGGGUUGAUUCUUUACAGUCUCUAUUCUUGUUAUCUGUGACUCUAUUGUUCAUACACAUGUAGAGUGUUGUAGGGAUGACUGUAUUGGGUAUUUGUGGUCUAUACCUGUCUAGGUUGUGAUUGGUACGUGUUAUGGGUUGUACAUGAUUAACAUUCUAUUUGCAUAGUGGUAUGUGUAGUUACGUUGGUUAUGGGUAUUGGAGGUGUUUAUGAGGGUUGAGGUUGUGGCAUGGAUGAUGAUUAUAUAUAUAUAUAUCAUGUUCAUCAUUCAUUGCAUCUGAUGACCGUUGUCUCCCUUGUGGUUGAGAGAGUCAUCAGUUGGU